GACGAACGCUGGCGGCGUGCUUAACACAUGCAAGUCGAACGAAGAGCGCCGGACGCUUGCUUCUAUCAAUCUUAGUGGCGAACGGGUGAGUAACGCGUAAUCAACCUGCCCUUCAGAGGGGGACAACAGUUGGAAACGACUGCUAAUACCGCAUACUAUCUAACCUGGGCAUCGAGGCUAGAUGAAAGGUGGCCUCUACAUGUAAGCUAUCACUGAAGGAGGGGAUUGCGUCUGUUUAGCUGGAUGGAGGGGUAACGUCCGACCAAGGCGAUGAUCGGGAGCCGGUCUGAGAGGAUGAACGGCCACAGUGGGACUGAGACACGGCCCAGACUCCUACGGGAGGCAGCAGUGGGGAAUCUUCCGCAAUGGACGAAAGUCUGACGGAGCAACGCCGCGGGAGUGAUGACGGCCUUCGGGUUGUAAAGCUCGGUUAAUCGGGACGAAAGGCCUUCUUGCGAAUAGCGAGAAGGAUUGACGGUACCGGAAGAGAAAGCCACGGCUAACUACGUG
rnacentral:rRNA from 1 species